GAAUGUCAGUGUCACAACUUUACACUUCCUGUCUGCACUGCGGGUGAAAUGAGAGUGGAGGAACCAGACCCCGGCGGCCCGUGUGGAUGCCCACUGUAUCACUGCAAGAAGGCAGAAGUGUGUCUGUUUCAGGGCGUAACGAUAUUGAACCCGGGCCAGUCUAUGGUGCAAUAUUUUGAGGGGGAACUGUGUUACACCGUUCAGUGCCUCACACAUAAAGACCCCAGCACCGGGUUCUACGCCAUGGAGGUCACCACUGCCAACUGC